ensembl:lncRNA
GACCACAAGAUGUAGGUGUCACAUAACCUAUGAACCUACCCUAUGUUAAAAUCAUACACACUUGUAAAGACUGUUGUACGGUCACAUUGGAUUUGAAAGCAACAUCCUUUCUUCCAUACAUCCACGCUACCUGAAAGACGACAGCUUCCUGAAUCCAACGAUACCAGAUAUGUGCACAUCGGACCUCCGCUUCAAAAGAUACGGCCAGACUGUUGUACGGUCACAUUGGAUUUGAAAGCAACAUCCUUUCUUCCAUACAUCCACGCUACCUGAAAGACGACAGCUUCCUGAAUCCAACGAUACCAGAUAUGUGCACAUCGGACCUCCGCUUCAAAAGAUACGGCCAGGUAAGCUUUGGCCAAUCAGAUCGCAUAUGCUAAUGAGGGUGGAAUUAAUGAGGGUGAAACUCGUUUUUAUCUAUAUACCUAGUUGCAAUUAACCCCAGACUAGCCCCUAACCCUAAC